rnacentral:rRNA from 1 species
UACGUAGGGCGCAAGCGUUAUCCGGAAUUAUUGGGCGUAAAGAGCUCGUAGGCGGUUUAUCGCGUCUGCUGUGAAAGACCGGGGCUCAACUCCGGUUCUGCAGUGGGUACGGGCAGACUAGAGUGAUGUAGGGGAGACUGGAAUUCCUGGUGUAGCGGUGAAAUGCGCAGAUAUCAGGAGGAACACCGAUGGCGAAGGCAGGUCUCUGGGCAUUAACUGACGCUGAGGAGCGAAAGCAUGGGGAGCGAACAGG